CACAAUUAGGCCCAUACAAAAACACAAGCAAAGCCCCUGGGGUUAGGGAUUUGAUUCCCCUAACCUUAUACUACAUACCAGUAAGUUUUACACGGAUAAACCAUGAAGAAGAAGAUGAAGACUUAUCAGAGAAGACGCAAAGCACCAGAAUCAGGUUCAAUGGUCCUCAUGUUGCAGGCAUCUAGUUUGUACUUAGUUUUGACUGCUGCAUGUUCACUUGCCAUGGCUGCUAUUGCUUUGGUAUAUUGAAAGAUCAAUGGUUUGCUGCAUGGCCUAAUGCAAGCAUGUUGUGUGCAAUGUCUGAUAUAAGGUCAUGACUGGCAAGUCUGGUUGGCUAAUGUGGUUUGCAGCAAGUCUUGGAUAAUUGCGGUUUUGUGUUCAUGACUGCAAGUCUUGGUAUGCAGGCAAGAUGUUUGUUUCUUGGAAUGAUGCAAGGCUUAGAAGUUUAUGCCAUUGCUUGGUCUGAUUCAUGUUAUGUGGCUUGGCAUGUUGGCCAAUUGGUUUUAAUGUAGGUCCACUUGUAUUGCAUACAAGAUGUUUGUUGUAAGUUCAGGCCUUGGGCUCACUUGGUGUAAGUCUUGGUUCUUGGCUUUGAUGUUGCAAGCAUGAGUGGUAUGGAAUUUGGUGAUGGUUUUUUGGUGCAAGCUUACUCAAUGGCAAGGUUUGACAUGGUUGUUGCUUCAUGUGUGCUGGUCUGCUGCAAAGUCCAUUUGGUGGUUUGUGACCUGGUCCAUCUGGUGGUCUGACCUGGUCAUGGACCAAGGUACUUGGCCAUGAAGAAAUCAAACGAAAGCAUGGAUUUUGUUGAUGACUCAAGGCAAGAUAGAUGGAAAUAGGUCUUAGGGGGUCUAGGGAGGGUCGGUUGACUUUGGUCAACUAGUUUACAAAAAAGUCAAUUGUUGACCAAAAGUCAAUUGUAGUCAAUGUUGGCCAAAUUUAAAUUUUUGUACGAAUAUGGACAUUCUUGUAAUGAAAUGAACAAUUCGUGAAUGGAAAUUAUAUUUGUAAUGAAAUUGAAUAAUAUUGUAUGGUAUUGAA